GAGCACGUAGGUGGGUUUGUAAGUCAGACGUGAAAGCCUUCUGUUCAACGGAAGAAUUGCAUCUGGAACUACAAACCUCGAGUGUAGGAGGGGAGAAUGGAACUUCUGGUGGAGCGGUGAAAUGCGUAGAUAUCAGAAGGAACGCCGGCGGCGAAAGCGAUUCUCUGGCCUAUUACUGACACUCAGUGUGCGAAAGCUAGGGGAGCAAACGGGAUUAGAUACCCCGGUAGUCCUAGCCGUAAACGAUGGGCACUAAGUAGAGGG
rnacentral:rRNA from 1 species